GGCGUUCAAUCGCAGCGUUUGGGCGACUGUGCUCUGGAGCAAUGCGGCAGAAGUAUUAUAUUGAAGCGGCUGCUCGGGGUCUGGUGGGAAGCUGCCCUGGCCAGGCCCGCUACCUCCUGUGGGCCUACAGUUCGACACACGGUAGGAGAACGCCGCCUGCGGAGGCUUCGGCCCUUGUCACCCCAGUGGUCCAAAAGAGAAGGGUGAUCGAUUUGACUCAUUGAAAAAAAAAAUGUCCUAAACUUCUCAGUUGCACGAAAACCCUAAAUUCUUUAAUAUGUCUUAAUCCUUAGCAUUAGACACAUUAACCAGUCUUUGUUUUUAAAAGUGUUCUGGUGCUUUGCCUGUUUGUUUGUCUGGGCACCAGGUGCGUGCCUGAUGCCGCGGAAACCAGAAGAGGGGGACGAAUCCCCUGGAACCGCACUUAAAGCCGUGGGUGCUUGGAAUUAAUCCUGAGUCUCUGCAAAGAGCAACAAAUACUCCUUACCCCUAAGCCAUCUCCCCUGCCCCUCGGUCAGCUUUUAUUUUAAAAUUUAUUCUACGAAGUGCAUAAAUGUUGCCCUCAUGUCUGCAUCACUUGGGAGCCUGGUGACCAGAAGAGGGUGAUGGAAUCCCCUAGUUGUACAGACAACUGUGAGAUGCUCAAACAGGGUCCUGGAUAUUGAACCUGGGUCCUCUGGAAGAGCAGCCAGCAAUAACUGCUGAGUCAUCUCUAGCCCACACGUAUUUUUGUGUUUGUGUGCCCAAGCUAGUGGGUCUGGAGAG
rnacentral:lncRNA from 1 species